GACGAACGCUGGCGGCGUGCUUAACACAUGCAAGUCGAACGGAAAGGCCCUGCUUUUGUGGGGUGCUCGAGUGGCGAACGGGUGAGUAACACGUGAGUAACCUGCCCUUGACUUUGGGAUAACUUCAGGAAACUGGGGCUAAUACCGGAUAGGAGCUCCUGCUGCACGGUGGGGGUUGGAAAGUUUCGGCGGUGGGGGAUGGACUGGCGGCUUAUCAGCUUGUUGGGGGGGUAGUGGCUUACGACGGCUUUGACGGGUAGCCUGCCUGAGAGGGUGGCCGGCCACCUUGGGACUGCGGUACGGCCCAGUCUCCUACGGGCGGCAGCAGUCGGGAAUAUUGCGCAGUGGGCGCACGCCUGAUGCAACGGCGCCGCGUGCGUAAUGCCGGCCUUCGGGUUGUAAACCGCUUUCGCCUGUGACGAAGCGUGAGUGACGGUAAUGGGUAAAGAAGCACCGGCUAACUACGUG
rnacentral:rRNA from 1 species